GAGUACACCUGAUCUCAUCUGAUAUCAGAAGCUAAGC
ensembl:rRNA 5S_rRNA 5S ribosomal RNA